rnacentral:rRNA from 1 species
AACGAACGCUGGCGGCAGGCCUAACACAUGCCAGUCGAGCGCCCCGCAAGGGGAGCGGCGGACGGGUGAGUAACGCGUGGGAACGUACCCUUUGCUACGGAAUAGCCUCGGGAAACUGGGAGUAAUACCGUAUGUGUCCUUCGGGAGAAAGAUUUAUCGGCAAAGGAUUGGCCCGCGUUGGAUUAGGUAGUUGGUGGGGUAAUGGCCUACCAAGCCGACGAUCCAUAGCUGGUUUGAGAGGAUGAUCAGCCACACUGGGACUGAGACACGGCCCAGACUCCUACGGGAGGCAGCAGUGGGGAAUCUUAGACAAUGGGCGCAAGCCUGAUCUAGCCAUGCCGCGUGAGCGAUGAAGGCCUUAGGGUUGUAAAGCUCUUUCAGGUGGGAAGAUAAUGACGGUACCAGCAGAAGAAGCCCCGGCUAACUCCGUG